AGUGAACGCUGGCGGUAGGCCUAACACAUGCAAGUCGAACGGCAGCACAGUAAGAGCUUGCUCUUACGGGUGGCGAGUGGCGGACGGGUGAGGAAUACAUCGGAAUCUACUUUUUCGUGGGGGAUAACGUAGGGAAGCUUACGCUAAUACCGCAUACGACCUACGGGUGAAAGCAGGGGAUCUUCGGACCUUGCGCGAUUGAAUGAGCCGAUGUCGGAUUAGCUAGUUGGCGGGGUAAAGGCCCACCAAGGCGACGAUCCGUAGCUGGUCUGAGAGGAUGAUCAGCCACACUGGAACUGAGACACGGUCCAGACUCCUACGGGAGGCAGCAGUGGGGAAUAUUGGACAAUGGGCGCAAGCCUGAUCCAGCCAUACCGCGUGGGUGAAGAAGGCCUUCGGGUUGUAAAGCCCUUUUGUUGGGAAAGAAAAGCAGCAGGCUAAUACCCCGCUGUUCUGACGGUACCCAAAGAAUAAGCACCGGCUAACUUCGUG
rnacentral:rRNA from 1 species